AUAUGGUCAAGUGAAGAAGCGCAUACGGUGGAUGCCUUGGCAGUCAGAGGCGAUGAAAGACGUGGUAGCCUGCGAAAAGCUUCGGGGAGUCGGCAAACAGACUUUGAUCCGGAGAUGUCUGAAUGGGGGAACCCAGCCAUCAUAAGAUGGUUAUCUUGUACUGAAUACAUAGGUGCAAGAGGCGAACCAGGGGAACUGAAACAUCUAAGUACCCUGAGGAAAAGAAAUCAACCGAGAUUCCCUUAGUAGUGGCGAGCGAACGGGGACUAGCCCUUAAGUGGCUUUGAGAUUAGCGGAACGCUCUGGAAAGGGCGGCCAUAGUGGGUGAUAGCCCUGUACGCGAAAAUCUCUUAGUCAUGAAAUCGAGUAGGACGGAGCACGAGAAACUUUGUCUGAAUAUGGGGGGACCAUCCUCCAAGGCUAAAUACUACUGACUGACCGAUAGUGAACUAGUACCGUGAGGGAAAGGCGAAAAGAACCCCGGAGAGGGGAGUGAAAUAGAUCCUGAAACCGUAUGCGUACAAGCAGUGGGAGCCCACUUUGUUGGGUGACUGCGUACCUUUUGUAUAAUGGGUCAGCGACUUAUUUUCAGUGGCGAGCUUAACCGAAUAGGGGAGGCGUAGCGAAAGCGAGUCUUAAUAGGGCGUCUAGUCGCUGGGAAUAGACCCGAAACCGGGCGAUCUAUCCAUGGGCAGGUUGAAGGUUGGGUAACACUAACUGGAGGACCGAACCGACUACCGUUGAAAAGUUAGCGGAUGACCUGUGGAUCGGAGUGAAAGGCUAAUCAAGCUCGGAGAUAGCUGGUUCUCCUCGAAAGCUAUUUAGGUAGCGCCUCAUGUAUCACUGUAGGGGGUAGAGCACUGUUUCGGCUAGGGGGUCAUCCCGACUUACCAAACCGAUGCAAACUCCGAAUACCUACAAGUGCCGAGCAUGGGAGACACACGGCGGGUGCUAACGUCCGUCGUGAAAAGGGAAACAACCCAGACCGUCAGCUAAGGUCCCAAAGUUAUGGUUAAGUGGGAAACGAUGUGGGAAGGCUUAGACAGCUAGGAGGUUGGCUUAGAAGCAGCCACCCUUUAAAGAAAGCGUAAUAGCUCACUAGUCGAGUCGGCCUGCGCGGAAGAUGUAACGGGGCUCAAACCAUACACCGAAGCUACGGGUAUCACUUAGGUGAUGCGGUAGAGGAGCGUUCUGUAAGCCUGUGAAGGUGAGUUGAGAAGCUUGCUGGAGGUAUCAGAAGUGCGAAUGCUGACAUGAGUAACGACAAUGGGUGUGAAAAACACCCACGCCGAAAGACCAAGGUUUCCUGCGCAACGUUAAUCGACGCAGGGUUAGUCGGUCCCUAAGGCGAGGCUGAAAAGCGUAGUCGAUGGAAAACAGGUUAAUAUUCCUGUACUUCUGGUUAUUGCGAUGGAGGGACGGAGAAGGCUAGGCCAGCUUGGCGUUGGUUGUCCAAGUUUAAGGUGGUAGGCUGAGAUCUUAGGUAAAUCCGGGAUCUUAAGGCCGAGAGCUGAUGACGAGUUACCCU
rnacentral:rRNA from 1 species